rnacentral:rRNA from 1 species
AGAGUUUGAUCAUGGCUCAGAGCGAACGCUGGCGGCACGCCUAACACAUGCAAGUCGAGCGAGAAGGUGACUUCGGUUGCGAGUAAAGCGGCGAACGGGUGAGUACAACGUGGAUAAUCUACCCUAAGGUCCGGGACAACCCCGAGAAAUCGGAGCUAAUACCGGAUAAGACCACAGUAUCCAAGGAUACAGCGGUAAAAGAUUUAUCGCCUUUGGAUGAGUCCACGUCCCAUCAGGUAGUUGGUAAGGUAAAAGCUUACCAAGCCUAAGACGGGUAGCCGGCCUUAGCGGGUGAACGGCCACAUGGGGACUGAGACACGGCCCUGACUCCUACGGGAGGCAGCAGUGGGGAAUAUUGGGCAAUGGGCGAAAGCCUGACCCAGCGAUGCCGCGUGAGGGAUGAAGGCCUUCGGGUUGUAAACCUCUGUCAGGAGGGACGAUGGGACACUUGUGUCUUGACGGUACCUCCAGAGGAAGCCCCGGCUAACUCCGUGCCAGCAGCCGCGGUNAAUACGGAGGGGGCAAGCGUUGCUCGGAAUUACUGGGCGUAAAGGGNUCCGCAGGCUGUCANGGCAAGUCGGUUGUGAAAGCUCAAGGCUUAACCUUGGNAAUUGCAUCCAAAACUGCCUGACUAGAGUCCNAAGAGAGGUUGGCGGAAUUCCCGGUGUAGCGGNUGAAAUGCAUAGAUAUCNGGGAGGAACACCAGAGGCGAAGGCGGCCAACUGGCUUGGAACUGACGCUCAGGGACCAAGAGCGUGGGUAGCAAAACCGG